GAUGAACGCUAGCGGCAGGCUUAAUACAUGCAAGUCGUGGGGCAGCAUGAAUGUAGCAAUACAUUUGAUGGCGACCGGCAAACGGGUGCGGAACACGUACACAACCUUCCUAUAAGUGGGGAAUAGCCCAGAGAAAUUUGGAUUAAUACCCCGUAACAUAAUGAUGUGGCAUCACAUUAUUAUUAUAGCUUCGGCGCUUAUUGAUGGGUGUGCGGCUGAUUAGAUAGUUGGCGGGGUAACGGCCCACCAAGUCUACGAUCAGUAGCUGAUGUGAGAGCAUGAUCAGCCACACGGGCACUGAGACACGGGCCCGACUCCUACGGGAGGUAGCAGUAAGGAAUAUUGGUCAAUGGACGCAAGUCUGAACCAGCCAUGCCGCGUGAAGGAUUAAGGUCCUCUGGAUUGUAAACUUCUUUUAUCUGGGACGAAAAAAGGCGAUUCUUCGUCACUUGACGGUACCAGAUGAAUAAGCACCGGCUAACUCCGUGCCAGCCGCCGCGGUAAAAC
rnacentral:rRNA from 1 species